ACCAGACUGCAUGUCAGCAGGAUUGGAGGGUUGACUCUCAAGAAUUGUGAAUUUGGUACCCAGGAAAUUAGACCUGAGGAGGCAAAGGAAACCAUAAUCAAUCAAAUUCGGAAUUCUUGAAUUAGAAAAGCACAGCGAGGGAACAAAGUGACAAGCAAGGUAAUGAAAAGCAAUACCUCAUUUUUCCAACAAAAGUGUUACUGGCUUG
rnacentral:lncRNA from 1 species